AUUUCCAAAGUUUAGAAACAAUAUUCCUGAAAAAAAAAAUCCCAGUGUCAAUAUAAAUUAAUUAGGAUAAAGAAGAAAAUACCGAGAAUUUUCUUUGGCCAGCUGAGCACAUUGUGUGUCAUCUUCCCACUUAGCAGGUGCCACUCUGCAUAAAAUAAAGUGUAGAACUGGAGGCUCCAAGAAACAAAUAAGGCAGCACAUGGAUCAGGAACAGAAAUUUUGGAUGUUAGAAAGUUGGUGGAGCAGGAGAGCAGCUGGAGGGGCUUCCUCCACCUGUGAUACCAGCUGGGGCUGCAACCCAUGCCUUUGCUGGCACAAAGUAUUGUCCAGAAUGGUUUAAUGAGCAUCAGGUGAGGUGGGUGAGGAGGCAUGGUCUCACCCCAAGUGGCAAGCACUCACGUACCCUGGGUUAAGGGCAUGCCAGCUUCUUCAUUGCUGACUAUGGAUGUGCCUUUGCUACAGUUUUAAAGAAAUACAGGUGUAUAGAAGCAAGUUAAAAAUACAGGAUAUGUUAUACAAAUGAUGGGUUGAGAUGGUCUAAAUAUGAAAGUCUUGCAGCAAGGAAAACUGGACAGAGGUGGGUGUGAACCAGGUGUUACUGGAUGCUGAAUUAUGCGCACUGGAUCCUUUGUCCCAUUCCAGAUCGUGUCAAGAUAUAGCUUCUUUGCAUGUAAGAGGAUGUGGUAUGACAGAAGCCUGCCAUCUGAGCUUGGAAGGAGCUGGGAAGAAGCCGGAGAAUUAUGAUUUGUACCUGCAAUAUGAAGAAACCAUUUUUUUAGAGAUGCUGUUAAAGGAGAAUUUGAGAAACAUGUAAGUAGGCACUACCUAAAGCUUAGUGAACAGCAGGUAUCAAGCCAUUUCCCUGCACAAUAAUGGACCGUGAUCUUCUUUGACCAUCUCUCUUUCCCCCCUCUUCUGGUUCACUAGUAAGAUGUUCUUUGUUUUGCUCACACUGGAUGAAAUUUGGGAAAGUAAAAGUUUCUUCAAAGUGUCUUAGG